UACAGAGGGUGCAAGCGUUAAUCGGAAUUACUGGGCGUAAAGCGUGCGUAGACGGUUAUUUAAGUCAGGUGUGAAAGCCCCGGGCUCAACCUGGGAAUUGCAUUUGAGACUGAAUAGCUAGGGUGCGGAAGAGGGAAGCGGAAUUUCCGGUGUAGCGGUGAAAUGCGUAGAUAUCUGGAGGAACACCGGUGGCGAAGGCGGCAUCCUGGACCAUUACUGACACUGAAAAGCGAAAGCCAGGGGAGCAAACGGG
rnacentral:rRNA from 1 species